UUAGGAAUCUUCCACAAUGGGCGAAAGCCUGAUGGAGCGACGCCGCGUGAGGGAUGAAGGCCUUAGGGUUGUAAACCUCUAAAAGAGGGACGAUAAUGACGGUACCUCUUGAAUAGCACCGGCUAACUCCGUGCCAGCAGCCGCGGUAAUACGGAGGGUGCAAGCGUUAUCCGGAAUCACUGGGCGUAAAGGGCGCGUAGGCGGUCUGUUAAGUCCGAUGUUAAAUCCCGGGGCUCAACCCCGGAUAAGCGUUGGAUACUGGCAGGCUAGACGGUUGGAGAGGCGAGUGGAAUUACCAGUGUAGCGGUGGAAUGCGUAGAUACUGGUAGGAACACCCAUUGCGAAGGCAGCUCGCUGGACAACACGUGACGCUGAGGCGCGAAAGUGUGGGGAGCAAACA
rnacentral:rRNA from 1 species